UGGGGAAUAUUGGACAAUGGGGGGAACCCUGAUCCAGCCAUGCCGCGUGUGUGAAGAAGGCCUUAUGGUUGUAAAGCACUUUAAGCGAGGAGGAGGGUACUGGUAUUAAUACUACCAGCUACUGGACGUUACUCGCAGAAUAAGCACCGGCUAACUCUGUGCCAGCAGCCGCGGUAAUACAGAGGGUGCAAGCGUUAAUCGGAAUUACUGGGCGUAAAGCGCGCGUAGGUGGUUCGUUAAGUUGAAUGUGAAAGCCCCGGGCUCAACCUGGGAACUGCAUCCAAAACUGGCGAGCUAGAGUAGGGCAGAGGGUGGUGGAAUUUCCUGUGUAGCGGUGAAAUGCGUAGAUAUAGGAAGGAACACCAGUGGCGAAGGCGACCACCUGGGCUCAUACUGACACUGCGGUGCGAAAGCGUGGGGAGCAAACAGG
rnacentral:rRNA from 1 species